GCAAGUCGAGCGCACCUUCGGGACCGAGCGGCGGACGGGUUAGUAACGCGUGGGAACAUACCCUUUUCUACGGAAUAGCCACUGGAAACGGUGAGUAAUACCUUAUACGCCCUUCGGGGGAAAGAUUUAUCGGAGAAGGAUCGGCCCGCGUUAGAUUAGAUAGUUGGUGGGGUAAUGGCCUACCAAGUCUACGAUCUAUAGCUGGUUUUAGAGGAUGAUC
rnacentral:rRNA from 1 species